CAAUAGCGUAUAUUUAAGUUGUUGCGGUUAAAAAAGCUCGUAGUUGGAUUUCUGCUGAGGACGACCGGUCCGCCCUCCGGGUGAGCAUCUGGUUCGGCCUUGGCAUCUUCUUGGUGAACGUAUCUGCACUUGACUGUGUGGUGCGGUACCCAGGACUUUUACUUUGAGGAAAUUAGAGUGUUUAAAGCAGGCUUAUGCCGUUGAAUAUAUUAGCAUGGAAUAAUAAGAUAGGACUUUGGAACUAUUUUGUUGGUUUGCGUUACAAAGUAAUGAUUAAUAGGGACAGUUGGGGGUAUUCGUAUUUCGUUGUCAGAGGUGAAAUUCUUGGAUUUCCGAAAGACGAACUACUGCGAAAGCAUUUACCAAGGAUGUUUUCAUUAAUCAAGAACGAAAGUUAGGGGAUCGAAGACGAUUAGAU
rnacentral:rRNA from 1 species